AAUUUAGAAACACAUACAAUAUUCAGUAAGAACAAAUUCUUACAAAAGAUCUUUGUGUUUAUCAGGGAUGCCCCCCUAAAGUAAUUCUGGGCCAUCCCUUUUGUAUUUACUAUAUGUCUUUCUGUUCUGUCUGCAAAAAUGCUUGCAUAGGCAAAAGCCCGAUACCAUAGCAGCCAAUGCAAUGUGAUCUGGGAAACUUUAUGUUUUGGUUCCAUGUCAUUUUUGAGUGGUGUCAUGCUGGUUAAACAUGGCAACACAUUUUUUUUUACCUCACUGUCCACAUUUUAUAAUUCCCAUUCCACACUGUAUACAUAGGAUGUACUUAUAUUUUGAUUAUCCUCUAUAUAUUUUUCAGAGUGCUGUUAUUUUUGUAUAUUUUGUAUAAUGCUUCAAAUUUGAUAUUGUAUUGCUUUUUGUUUAAUUCCACGCUACUGUGACACGGAACUUUCCCAUAUGUGGGAUAAAUAAACAAUGUCUUCCUACAUUUAUUGUCCAUUAAUAAAGCUGUAAAUUUAGUUAUCCCGUUCACUGAUAUGUUUUUGUUCAAGAUGGACUCUGUAAUAACUUUAUCUAAACUUUAUACACUGCCUGGCAAAAAACGGUCAUGGUCCUGCCGUUCCUUGUUUUUGUUCUCUCCCUCUGUUUUCUCUCCCUGUCACCUUCAAUAGGCUCACCUGGGCAGGAGACUGGUGAGAGCACCCGACCCAGCUGCAGCUAAUCCUAAUCAAGCGCACUUUAAAAUGAUUGCCAUGGCUUCCCUCCAGUGCCAGAUAAUUCCACGUCACUUGGUCUGUGCCUGAGCUUCGGCAUUGCCUACAGUAAAGCCAGAUUUCCAUACGCGGCCUACCUCCACACCGCCCCGCACCGCCCACUUUAAAUUGCUAUUUCCAUUUCCUGAAUUGGGGCCGAAAAUGUGACGUAGAAUGCUGCUUACGACUGAUUGGUCAGAAAAAAAAAAAUCAGCGCAAGGUACAAAGCAGGAUGUUUUGGUUGUGACUAGAGAUGAGCGUUUUUGCGUUUUUGUUGUGUAAGCUGCUCACUUUCAACUUUCUGCUCUCGUGUCGUACAUUUUUUUUAAAUGAUGACUGCAAAAAUAUUGUCGUUAUGGACCAACCCGAAGAUGAGGGCUUUUCUGUUAUUGUUGGGAGAAGAGAUAUACGGCGGGAGUUGGACUCUGAACGACAAGGUUUUCCAGCAGAUCGCGGCUGAGAUGGCCAAACUUGGCUUUAUCAGGACGGUAAAACAAAUAAAGGAAGAAGCUUAAAAAAUUGAAGGACGAUUAUCGGGCAGCCAAGGGGCACAACAAUACGAGUGGUGCUGAUCAAAAGGUCCUGAAAUGGUAUGAAGAGAUGGACGCGAUAUAAGGCCACAGACCAGGGAGCACCGGUAGGGAAGCUUGCCUUGAAUCCACCGUUGGCGCAGUCCUCCGCUAAGUUUUUGUUCUGAGCCCUGGUCUUGCAGGAGUGCAGCCACGACACUAACCGAAGUCUACCUCAACAGCCCCGCGGGACUGCAGUUGUGGAAGAUCUACAGCAAUGCUGUUCAAAGAACAGUACGAAGGAAAGAAGAAAUGCGUCAAACUAAAUGAAGCCUCAUACUCGGAAUUUCGCAAGGAGGUCGGUUCGAAACCUAUAAGAGCACUCUGGUCCAGCCCAGCAGAGGCAGCCCUACAUCCUGGCAGUUGGCAUCACAGGAACAAACAUCCAUGAUUACUACAUUGUGAUGGAUGGUGAGCUCCUUCCCUGCAAGGCCAGGUCUUCCCUAUCAGCCUUUGAUGAACUCUUCAAGACACAUUAUGUGUACAGCCUGUACACAUUUGUGCAGCACAGUUUUUCACAGCAUUUUCAUUUUUAUCAUGUCAGACAGGGAAAUCCAGAAAAUGUUUCCAUGCUGAAAGUUGAUGAGUUGCUCCUGUUUAAGCUGUUUGAUCUGCAAACAACGUAUGGUUUUGAAGGAGAUGAUCGUAUGUGGUGCCUGUGCAUGUUUUUGUAUAAGAAAUAUGUUAAGAUUUAUUAAAGAUGUUAUAUUUUCAUGAAACUCUUGUGUGGACUAUAAAUUCCUCAAGUGUUAACAAUUCACCUCAAAAGUGUGAUAGAGUACAUUGUCACUCUCAGAGUAUUAAAUAAUCAGCUCUGCAAAGUGCUCUAAAUUACUUACUUAGAGUAUAAAUUUUACACUCUGGGAGUUCUAGGUUUACACUGCAAGUGUCAAAAAACACUGAAGUAGUGUCUAAAUGUACCAGUGACCCUCUCAGAGGGUUCAAAUGUAACUCUUUAUUUGGAGUAAAUGUGUUACACUUUUGAUGGUGUUCAGCGAACAAAGCCGGAGUUAAAUAUACACCUAUAGAGUACAAUGUACACUGCGAUUUUUGCUGUGCAGGCAAAACUGCAACUACUUAAAAUCAAAUCUAUUAAGAAAAGUUCUUUGGACUGAAUUGUCUGUUUUUUAUUUUUCCAUUAAAGAUCGUGACAAAAUCGAAAUCGUGAUUUUAUUUUUAAAAAAUCAUGAUAUGAUAUUUUUGCCAUAUUGCCCACCUCUAGUUGGAACAUAACUUUACUCUGUAGACUGCUGUUGCUAGUAGCAACAAGCGUUGGUGUGGCUAAAGCCCAAAAAAACGGGGGUAGCGGGGGUCUAAGCAAUGGAAAAUGUAGUUUAAAAAAAAAGCUGUGGAGGUAGGGCGUCAAUGGAAAUCCGGCUAAAGAUAACUUUUAAACAUCCCGUCUGAUGAAGACACUGGAGGGACCUAUACUGGAACAUCUCCGCUCUAAGGCCCCUUCCAUGGACCCACAGCAGUUUGCCUACCAUCUUAAUGUGGGUGUGGAGGAUGCUGUUAUCUUCCCACUAGAUCAAACUCUUUCUCACCUGGAAAACCACAGCAGCACUGUGAGAAUCACCUUUUUUGAUUUUUCAAGUGCUUUCAACACCCAGCCAGUGAUUCUGACGGGCAAACUGGAGAGGAUGGGUGGUUGGACCACCAGCUGACUGAAUAGAUCCUGGACUACCUCACAUUACCUACACACUACCUCCAUUUCGCACGUUUUCUGCCUUCAUUUUAUCCCAGGGGACCAUGGCUACACCCUGAGAAUGUGGCUGUUGAGCCCUCUUACCAACCCCGGCACCAACCAAGACAGGAGGUCAUUGUACGACCUCCAGUCCCGACCUCGGGCAGUGGUGGAGAAGGCAAUCGGCCCACUGACGGGACACUGGCGCUGCUUGGACAGGUCACGGGGAGUGCUGCUCUUGCCCCAGUGGUCCUGUGAGAGGCUUUUAGCACCAUCUCCCGCAAUGCCCUGCGGACCACCAUCUGACACCUCUCUUCCCAUGAAGUGGGCUCCUUCCAGGACCUCUGGAGCACUCCAUCCUUCACCUCAAUCUUUGCAAAUAGUCCUUUAGUGGCAGACGAGCAUUCAACGACAUCAUUCCACUGUGGCUUUUGUCCUUAUUCCACCUGAUGCAGCACUUGUUGCAGAUCAGCCUCCUGUUCCUGCUGCGCACUCCAUUUGAGUGAGUCAAAAUCUGCAUCUCUCUGCAGAUAGGCCCAACUUAAUCAUGCUUGGCCUAGCUCUUCCGCACAGAGCUCUUUUUCACUCGGCUCCCUCUUCUCACAGUAUCAACAGCUAUUGAGAGCACAGGGGCACCGGGACAUGGUGUCAGCAUUGGCAUGGUGAGCUCCAGCCCCGUAUUCCACUACAAAACGUACGGUGCCAAUUCUUCCAGCCAGCAACCAAUUUGUCCUUGACAUUAACCACUGGAGGGCAUACAGUGGUCAGCUCGGACAGAGAAGAGCAGGCCGCACUGGCUGCCCUUCACAGUGGUUUCUCACAAUAGCAAGAAGUUCUCUGCAUGUCACACAAUAGCGAUGUUCAGCUUUGUUGAAAGUUUUGCUGAAGUAUGCCACCACUUUCUCCCCCUCCGCCCCCACCUGGCUCAACACUGCCCCCAUCCCAACAUAGCUGUUAUCUGUGUCCAGGACAAAUGGCAGGUUGGGGACCGGGGGAAUGAGGAUGGGAGACUCUGUCAAGGCCUUCUUCAAAGAGCUGAAGGCCUGCUCAUACUCAGCUGUCCAGGAAAAAUCACUGUCUUUCUGCUGCAGGUGGAACAGGGGCACAGCUAUGCAUGAGAAGCCACGCACAAACCGCUUGUAGUAGGAUGCCAGUCCAAUGAAGUUCUUUAACUCUCGCAAGUUGGUAGGGGUUGGCCAAUCCCUCACUGCGCGCACUUUCUCCUCCAAGGUGCCAAUGCCCUCUACCCCAACCCUGUGCCCCAGAAACUCAAGCUCUUUUCUCAUAAAGCACACUUGUACGGGUGAAGCUUUAGGUCAGCCCCUGACAUUCUCUGUAGAAUCCGCCGCAAGGCCUCCAGGGUUGUGUGGCUGGGUCAUUGCACAGGCCGAAGCAAAGGACUCAAAACUGCCACAACCCUCUGCUGGUACAGAAAGCAGUCUUUGGUCUGGCUUCAGGGCUGAGGGGCACCUGCCAAUACCCUCUGCGUAGGUGUAAUGAGGAGAGCCACGACGAGCCGGAUACCAAAUCCAGAAACUCAUCAAUGCGGGGCAGUGGGUACGAGUCCUUCUUGUUCACACUGUUUAGUGGCCUGUAGUCAACACAGAACCUCAUCUUCAAACUCUUUUUCUUAUUGACCAUCACAACCCGUGAGGCCCAUGGGCUGUCAGAUGGCUUAAUAAUGCCAGCCUUUUGCAUCUCGUCAAUCGCACUGUGAGCAGCAGCCUGAUGUGCCGGAGGAAGACGACAGGGGUGUGUCUUGAUGGGCCGUGCAUCACCAGUGUCAUUGUUGUGCUGCACAAGAUGCGUCAGGCCCACUUCAUCCUCUGUCACAGCAAAAAUGUCCUUAAACUCCAACAAUAUCUACCACAGUUCCUCUUGCUGCCCGGGUUCUAGGUUAACACAGUUGUGUUUCUGCGUUACCUCUCUCACUGCUGCCAGCCUGCCAACUUAACACUCCCUAAACUCAUGGAGACUUUA